UCAGAAGCAAACUACAAAUAAACAUGGAUUCACUUUACAAUAUUCAGCAACAUGAUAAAGGGCUAGAUUAAACAUGCAUAAUACAAGAUUGAAUACAUAAUAAUACUGAAAGGGAUGAAAUAGAAGAAAUAAGCUUGAAAUACAACGUGUAUCCAAAGUGUUUCAAAUUCAAAUUGUAGAUUCACAUUCACGCGUUGCCUAUGGUUCCAAAAGAUACCUGGAAAGGAAAGGAAGUAGGAAAAUGAGGGAUCGACAGCUACAGAGCACCAAUUAACAGCAGCUUAAAGCCAAUUUCCAUCCCAGAAAGUGAGAUCAAAUAGUCCAGGAAUCAAUUCCAAGCAAGUAACACAUCAUCCAAACAUCAAACCAAGCUUAAAAUGGCUCAACUAAGACCAUUUUAGAAUCCAAACAAUCAGAAAAUUGAUUUAGGAAGUGAAGAUUUCAAAUUGCAAAACUGACACUCAAUGCAGCAGUAUUUUUCAAAGAUUUUCAGCUGUUUGUUAUUUGCAGAAUUUUUCCUUCUUUUUUGGUCCCCCGUGCAAAGCAAGUUUAGGGUGCCUUUAUAGGCAAGGGACUAGGGCAGUAGUAGAA
rnacentral:lncRNA from 1 species